rnacentral:rRNA from 1 species
GACGAACGCUGGCGGCGUGCUUAACACAUGCAAGUCGAACGGAAAGGCCCUGCUUUUGUGGGGUGCUCGAGUGGCGAACGGGUGAGUAACACGUGAGUAACCUGCCCUUGACUUUGGGAUAACUUCAGGAAACUGGGGCUAAUACCGGAUAGGAGCUCCUGCUGCAUGGUGGGGGUUGGAAAGUUUCGGCGGUUGGGGAUGGACUCGCGGCUUAUCAGCUUGUUGGUGGGGUAGUGGCUUACCAAGGCUUUGACGGGUAGCCGGCCUGAGAGGGUGACCGGCCACAUUGGGACUGAGAUACGGCCGAGACUCCUAGGGGAGGGAGCAGUGGGGAAUAGUGCACAAGGGGCGGAAGCCUGAUGCAGCAACGCCGCGUGCGGGAUGAGGGCCUGCGGGGUGUAAACCGCUUGCGUCUGAGACGAAGCGUGAGAGACGGAAAGGGGUAGAGAAGCAGCGGCAAAAUACG